AGGGCUACAUUAUCCAGAAACGAGAGAAGAAGCCGAGCCUGGACCCGGAGAAACCUUCGGAAGACAUUCUCACGUAUGAAGAAUUUCACCCGUUUCUCUUCAGGCAGCACGAGAAGUGCCCGUAUGUGGAGUUUGAGACUUUUGAUAAGGCUGUUGAUGAAUUUUACUCCAAGCUGGAAGGUCAGAAGAUUGAUUUGAAAGCCCUCCAUCAGGAGAAACAAGCCUUGAAGAAACUGGAAAAUGUCCGUAAGGAUCAUGAGCAGAGGCUGGAAUCUCUGCACGUGGCUCAGGACAUUGACAAAGCCAAAGGAGAGCUCAUCGAAA